rnacentral:tRNA from 1 species
GCAGUAGCUCAGUUGGUAGAGCAUCGGUCUCCAAAACCGAAGGUCGCAGGUUCGACCCCUGUCUGC